rnacentral:rRNA from 1 species
CCUACGGGCUGCACCAGUGGGGAAUAUUGCACAAUGGGCGCAAGCCUGAUGCAGCCAUGCCGCGUGUGUGAAGAAGGCCUUCGGGUUGUGAAGCACUUUCAGCGGGGAGGAAGGCGUUGAGGUUAAUAACCUCAGCAAUUGACGUUACCCGCAGAAGAAGCACCGGCUAACUCCGUGCCAGCAGCCGCGGUAAUACGGAGGGUGCAAGCGUUAAUCGGAAUUACUGGGCGUAAAGCGCACGCAGGCGGUCUGUCAAGUCGGAUGUGAAAUCUCCGGGCUCAACCUGGGAACUGCAUUCGAAACUGGCAGGCUAGAGUCUUGUAGAGGGGGGUAGAAUUCCAGGUGUAGCGGUGAAAUGCGUAGAGAUCUGGAGGAAUACCAGUGGCGAAGGCGGCCCCCUGGACAAAGACUGACGCUCAGGUGCGAAAGCGUGGGGAGCAAACAGGAUUAGAUACCCUAGUAGUC